CCUCUAUUAGUUCUAAAGUCUCCAUUAGACUUUAAGCUCCUUAAAGUGCAGCCAUUGCUUCUUCUUUGAACCUAUGUUAUUCCUCCAUAAUAAUCUACUCAGAUUUCUUUUUGGUUUGUUUAUUCUUACAUAAAAGAAAUGUUAUACAUAGAAGAAUCACAGAAUUGCAGAAUCACAUCAAGAGCAAACAGACUUAAGAGCAUUAACAGGAAUCAGUCACAUAAUUAUUGUUAUAAUACAUUUGGAGGCUAAUAUUUAAGAACCAUUAGAACAUAUUUUUAUAAGACUACCGAUCAAGUAUUAUAUAUUUCACCUUAGCUAUUUGCUGUCCAAACAAUCUUGGCAAUAAUUUGCUGACGAAAUGGGCCACUUUUUGUUGGUGGUCUUAGUUUGAUGCAAGUUUUCCUUACCAUGAACCACUAUGGAUUUGUGCAAAGUAUAGCUGUCAUAAUUUCAGGUCUUCAGAGACUCUCAGACCUUUAGGAAUUCACAAGGUUGUUACCAGUUUUGGACAUGUGAACCAUGGGAUGCUUGUUGGAUCAACAUCAGUAGAGAACAAAUAUAAAAAAGAAAAGAAAGGCCACACAGAGGUCAAGUGGGAGUCAGGGCAAUUCACUUUCUCCCACCCAAUUCUGGGGACCCAGCUGGAACCAUCCAAAUUAUUCACACCUGGCAAGGUAGAAAACUCUUCUGACAAGUUGAUUCUACUGUGCUUUUAUGGCUCAGUAGAAAAAUAGGAUGUUCUUUAACCAAUCAACAUUCAUUAAAUCCUCACUAUAUGCUAGGCACUGUGUUAAGUGCUAAAGAUACAAAAAACAAAAGUCUUUGCAAGAGAACACAAUUAUAAAUAAGAUAAAUGCAGAGUUGAAGGAAGGUAGCAACUAUCUAUAGCACUAUCUACAGUGCAAGCUCCUCAUUGAUGAAUCAUAAAUGGCCAGAAGCAGGUCCCCAAAGUUCCCAUAUGGUUAAAUGGAAUCAGGCAGAAAAAAAUCUGACCAUACUCUCUACAAUCCAUUUUACUGCUAUGUAAUGAAGGACAGAAUCAAAAACCCUUAGAGUUAUAAAAGGCUAUCUAGAACAAUCUAUACCCUGAAUGAGAUUUCCAAAUAAUCUUUAGCCAACAUGUGGUGACCCAAUCUUUGCUUAAAGUCCUCCAAGGAGAAGGAACCCUCGGAGAAUUUGGAAUGAGUAAAUAAGGGUAGGCAACUAGCAAAGAAGGAAAGCUUUGAGGAGUGCUGGUGGCCUUUCUUCCCUCAAAAUGAAUUUUUUUCCUCUAUACAGAUGGAAAGGAUAUCUAUACCUCUCUGGAUCAAUAUUGGGGAUGAGAGUGAUUGGAGUCAGGGCUGAGCUGCUGAUUCCCUGAUUGCCAGGGGGGGAAAGUGGAGAAGAAGUCACAAUAGGAAUGGGAUGUCCCAGGGUGUCCCAGAGACACAAAGUUCUCUUCCACAUUCUCCUUUUAAGUUUCUUAGAUUUCAUGUGGGAGGUAUACAUGUGGCAAGCAGUGGUUGGGAAAGGAAGAGACAGAGAGACCAGUAUAGUAUGAUGGAAAAUCACUGAAAUGAAGUGAGGUGACCUAGAUUGAAAUCCCAAUUCUGUCAGUCUUACCAUCUAUAUGACCUUGAGUAAGUCACUUAACUGGUUUGGUAUUCUUACUGUAAAAUGUGGAAUUAAAAUUAGAUGACCUGUAAAGUCCCCAUCAGUUCUAAAUUUAUGAUUUCUACCUGUGGAUUCUCUCCACAUGAGCAGAGCAGAAUUGGGAAGCAAAACAACCCCUAGCAAGGGCUGCUUCAUUUUUGCCUUUUAUUCUCAGUACUAAGCACAGUAUAUCUGCUGAAUUAGAUUAAAUGUUAAGGGGAGAAGAGAGAUAGAAGAUGUCAAUUGGUCAAUAAAUAUUCAUCAGGCAGCUACUAUGUGCCAGGCACUGUGCUAAGGGCUGGGAAUACAAAGAAAGGUAAGAGACAAUCUCUGUUCUCAAGGAGUUUUUUGUCUAAUGGGGAGAAAAAUGCAAAUGACUAUGUAUAAACAAGAUAUAUACAGGAUAAAUGAGAAAUAAUCAAGACAGGGAAGGCACUAAAAUUAAGGGGAAAGACUUCCUGUAGAAAGUACAAUUUUAAGAGGGACUUGAAGGUAGUCAUGAGGUGGAGAUAGGGAGGGAGAAUAUUCCAGGUAUGGAGCACAGCUAAUGAAAAUACCCAGAGGCAGAAAAUAGAAUGUUGUUUCCGGACCAUUAAGGAGGCUGGUGUUAGAAGAGCUUUCUAGUAGGUCUUCAGAGGGGAAGGAGAAAAAAUUGAGCUACAGCUUUCUGCAACUUAAGCAGAUCUUCUGUGGAAUUACUUCAUUGGGGGCACAGAGAGUGCUUUCCUUGUGGUCACUUAAAUAGUUCAUGUUCUUGAAGAUAAAGAAUAUAUAGAUAUUCACAGGUGGAGGAGAAGAGUAUGAAGAGAGAUAGGGUCAGUCCCAUUCAGAUACCAGGGGAGAAGACUGCACAAUCACUGGCACAGGAGAAUCUUCUACCAGACAGGCUGAAGAACUGGAUCUAGAAAUUCUGAGGAGUCAAGUACCACAAGGUAGGACUAAGAUGAGGUAUCAGGAGGUUCUCCUUUUUGGACUCCCAGAUCAUAAACUGACAGUAGAAAUACUUUACAGUCAUAUACUUGACUUCUAGAAGUCAAAAUCAUUGAGGAAAUGAGGAAGGCGGUAAGUGGAAUUGCUCUACCUGAUCUUGAGCGCAUCCAUGGUGAAUUAACUUCAGAAUGAUGUUAGGUAUUAUUUGACCAGACUGAACUGCCUAUUGGGUAGAUGGCAAAGAGAUUGAUGGUCAGUCCAAAGAUGGUCCUUCAGUUAUUCUAUCAGGAGCCAGUUAUACAGAAUGCAAAGAUGUCACAUCUUGCAUUUGGUUGCUAUAGUUAAACUGAAAUUUGCAAGACUUGAAACAGAAGGUCGGCCUGGGUGGCUUGUGGCCCUCUGGUGGUGGCUGGGCCGGCAGAGCCUUCUUCUCCAAACCUAGAUCGUUCCUCUGUCCGCUAGAGACACAUCCUGGACCAAACUGGAAAUCGGGCCCCGCCAUGAGCAUAGCCUCGUGGGAUAUCCCUUUUGCCUAAAGCCGGCGGGCUCCGCACUUGGCCCUGUGUCUACAGGGGGCCUGGGAGCCUCUAAAAGGGUCGUGCAGCCCGAACAAGCCUCGCGGAGGGGAGGGCAGAUGCCUGGGACCGCUAAGGCUUGGCAGGGGCCGGACCUGGGGGGAGCCGGGGGAUCCCCCCAUUUCUCCGUCAGGAAAGAUCCCCGUUAAGGUGGCGGCUGCGGCCCAGGCCACCACAGGGGCCACCAGAGGCCAGGUGGCGCCAGGCAGAUGCGGGAAGCAGUGCAAGCCUCGGUGCUCAGCUUGGCCAGCUGGGGCAGCAGCAUGGUCCCGGAGCCCUUCUCAGAGACACGCCGUUAGGGAGAGCCAGAGCCGACCACAGGCGUUGAGGUGGGCCCCCAGGGAACGCCGGCAGGCGCUGGGCCCCAGCAGCGGCCGCUCCUGCACCUGGGCCUCCCGCGUGGUCGUCCCGCUCCACUGAGCAGCCCCGCGCCGAGGGCGGAAGACAGACCUGGGCCGGAGGGAGAGUCUCCGCCACCCGCAGACUGAGAAGGCUGCAGUGCCCUCGGCUUUCUCCGAGGCGAAGUGAGAGCAGCACCGGACAGCUCCCGACUCUGGGAACACUGCGGGGGUGGGGAAAAACGAGGCCGGCUCUUCACGUGACCCCCUUAAAGCAGCCGCUGAUAUCUGCUUCAGUCACCGUCUUGCCCGUUAUCUCAGUAUGACCCUCGGCAGAUUCCUUCUUCCAGGGGGCUGGGCUAGGUCGUCAUGGAGAUAAGGAACCAGAGACUCCCCUGGAGAAGGAUGAGAGAAGAAGAAUCUAGGGAUAUCUGUGCUUUCCUUUCUGUGAGUCACAUCUAGAUGGACAAUGUAACCUACAUGAACACCAAUAGUACACAGGACAUACCUUAUAUUUAUAAGAAACACUCUUUUAAUAUAAAUAUUCACAGAGAUUUAAAAUGA